rnacentral:lncRNA from 1 species
GCAGGCUAGUCACCCUGACCCUCCUCCACAAACCCUUGCAAAUUCAGCAGCAGUAGUACUCUCUUUACCCUCGCUCCCAAGUUCCUCUCUAACAUUCAAGAGAGAGCGACCCCCUCUCUCCCUCCAACUCUCCAGAUUCUCCACUACCGUCCUCACUCAGCUCCGAUCUAAGUCUCUCUCUCUCUCUCCUCUCUCUCUCUUCAGCAAGAAAUGGCGAUUUCAUCGCAAACUCCUGAUAUCAUGGGGGAUCGUCAGUCCGGACAGGACGUCCGCGCCCAAAAUAGUACUCUCUUUCUCUCUCCGCGCGCACACGCACACACGCUACAUUUCUUUGUUAUUCACAUCUACUCAUUUGUAGGCAUAAGCGUUUAAUUUAUGCUUGUAUGUUACUGUUUUGAAUGAUUAUUUGGGGGGUUGUGGUUAUAAGGGCAGACGGCCGUGGUCCGGCCGGUCAAGCAAGUCGCAAAUAUUGUCAAGUUCUUUCACUUGGCCCUGUGUCUCGACAAGGUAUUCUCCUUUUCCUUGCCCUUCGUUUGUGUUGUGGUGAUUUGUGUCUUUUGUUUGGGAUGUUUGGUGGUUGAAGGCUUGAAUUUGUUGUGCAUUUAAGUUUGUGUUUACUUAAUUACAAAUCGAAGUUUUGUAUACAGUAUGUACAAGUAGUGAAUGGUGUGCAGUACUGCAGUGUGUAUUUGUAAUCAUCCUAUAAUGGGCUUUGUACGCACAUUUAAUUUCACUACUGUUUGUGCAACUCAUUAGUGGGAUUAUGAGUUGUGUUUUUUCACGAAGAG